UUUAAGAAGGGACACAUGUUAAUUGAAAUGCAUUCCAGGUGACUACCUUGUGAAGCUGGUUGAGAAAAUGCCAAGAGGCAAAGGGUGGCUAUUUGAAGAAUCUGAAAUAUAUUUUUGAUUUAACACUUUUUUGGUUACUACAUGAAUCCACGUGUUAUUUCAUAGUUUGUCUUCACUAUUGUUCUACAAUGUAGGAAAUGGUAAAGUGCCCCUAGAGCAAAUUAGGGUUAAGUGCCUUGCUCAAGGACACGUCAACCAAAUUUUCACCUUGUUUACUCGUAUUCCAUCCAGAGACCUUUCGGUUACUGGCCCAACGCUGUAACCGUUAGGCUACCUGCCGCCCUGUACAUGUAUUACGUACUGUACACUGUGGACAAGCUACUAAACCUCUCUUCCUGCCAUCCCCAAAUCUAGUUGAGGCAAUGUCCCAAUGUCUGAGUCCACUCAAAUCUAAUAUCCCUCUCUCUGGAUGUAACAGUUCUCUCUGCCUUUCUUCCUUCUCUCCACAAGACGUGCCUUUAAGCUCUCUCUCACUCACCCAGCCACAGUGUGCAGAGAGACUGUUGAAACAUUUAGAGGCACUGAAGGAGCUGACAGACAGUGCGGAUGGGGUGGCACAUUCAUUUUCAAUUCAACUUAGGCGGGGGGUGUAAUUCUAUCCAAGUGGAGUGCUCUGCUGUGCCUGUGGAAGCCGCUCAGACUAGGUGGAGAAAAUAGGAUUCUACUCUAUUUUUGAAGUGGUGCCGUCGUUGUUGACCAAUCACAGUACAAAACAGCCUGCAUGUUGAGCCAUCAGCACGCACUGUAUGUCCAACAGUAGAACCAGAUUACUUGCCCACUCCAGCUAGCUAGCUAUCAGUUUAGAAUCAUUUUUAACAAUACAUAUCUUUGUUUUCUAAUACAUUUGUUUAUUCAUCAUUUCUGUUGCAUGUAAAUACGUUUUUACGCAAUCUUUGUUUAUUUUGAUGCAGUUCUCACCGCCAGCUGUCGCAUCGACUGUGGGCUGUUGCCCUUUGUGUGUGAAGGCACUAGCCGUGUUGACUAGAGGGACAAGUGGUGUGCUGUGCAGGGUAUUCUGCGAUAUUCCACUGACUAUCUGAAAAGCAUUAGAGUGUAUGAAGCAUAAAUAAAACAUGGAUUUUGCAUUAGAUUUUGCACUGUCUCAAUGCAAAGUUACACCUCACUUCUCUAUUUUACGAGUUAUUACUUAAUUAAAACCGAUAAGAAUUCUGAAUAAUGUUUCAAUCAUGUUGGAAGACUUUUUUCCGGGGGGUGAUGUAAGAUGGAGGGCCCGGCAAGCAAUCCUAAUGUGAACUCCCAACAAUUUUCAGCCAACUUACGAGCAAAUUUGUUAGGAAUGUAUUGUUACAAGUCAAGUUGAAAGGUUUUCACCAUUUCGUAGUAUUCAAUUGGUAGUUUGUCCAUUCGCUGCAACUCCCGUACAGACUCAGGAGAGGCGUCCUCCGAAACAUGACUCAACCAAGCCGCACUGCUUCUUGACACAAUGCCUGCUUAACCCGGAAGCCAUUCACACCAAUGUGUCAGAGGAAAUACAGGAUGCGUUCAAUUGUGAAUCUGUAAAAGUUUGAAGGUUUUAGGUGACAAGCCAAAUUUCUUUAGCCUUCUGAGGUUGAAGAGGCUCUGUUGCGGGGUAGCCUAGUGGUUAGAGCGUUGGACUAUUAACCAGAAGGUUGCAAGUUCAAAUCCCUGAGCUGACAAGGUACAAAUCUGUCGUUCUGCCCCUGAACAGGCAGUUAACCCACUGUUCCUAGGCCGUCAUUGAAAAUAAGAAUUUGUUCUUAACUGACUUGCCUAGUUAAAUAAAGGUAAAAUAAAAAAAUUCACCACACUGUGUGUGGGUGGUCCAUUUCAGUUUGUCAGUGAUGUGUACGCCCAGAAACUUGAAGCUCUCCACCUUCUCCACUGCGGUCCUGUCGAUGUAGAUAGGGGGGUGCACCCUCUGCUGUUUCCUGAAGUCCACGAUCAUCACCUUUGUUUUGUGGACUUUGAUUGAGAGGUUGUUUUCAAGGCACCACACUCCCAGAGCUCUCAUCACCUCCCUGUAGGCUAUCUCGUCAUCGUUGGUAAUCAAGCCCACUACUGUUGUGUUGAGUUGGAGGCGUGCUUGGUCAUGCAGUUAUGGGUGAACAGGAAGGACAGGAGGGGGCUGAGCACGCACCCUUGUGUGGUGCGGAUUAGUGGAGUGGAGGUGACAUUUCUUCACCACCUGGUGAAUUCCUGUCAGGAAGUCCAGGACCCAGUUGCCCAGGAUGGGGUUCAGAACCAGGGCCUCGAGCUUAAUGAUGAGCUUGAAUGGUACUAUGGUGUUGAAUGCUGAGCUGUAGUCAAUGAACAGCAUUCUUACAUAGGUAUUCCUCUUGUCCAGAUGGGAUAGGGUAGAGUGAUGGCGAUUGCAUCGUCUGUGGAUUUAUUGGGGCGGUAAGCAAAUUGAAGUGGGUCUAGGGUGUCAGGUAACUUAGAGGUGAUAUGAUCUUUAACUGGCUUCUCAAAGCACUUCAUGAUGACGAAGGUGCUACGGGGCGAUAGUCAUUAAGUUCAGUUAUCUUUGCCGCCUUGGCUACAGGAACAAUGGUGGCCAUCUUGAAGCAUGUGGGGACAGCAGAAUGGGAUAGGGAGAGAUUGAAUAUGCCCGUAACCACAGCAGCCAGCUGGUCUGUCCAUGCUCUGAGGACGCGGCUAGGGAUGCCGUCUGGGCCGGCAGCCUUGCGAGGGUUAACAUGUUUAAAUAUUGAAUGGGAGUGACGAGUGUGUUGAUAUAAUGGUAAUAUUUAAAUUCCACUUUUAACAACCGUCAUACUACUAUAAUAAGAAGAUUGUGGGAGCUGUACUGUUAGAUUUCAGUGCAGCCUUUUGAUAUUAUUGACCAUAACCUGUUGUUGAAAACUUUUGUUAUGGCUUUUCAACCUAUGCCAUAUUGUGGAUUCAGAGCUAUAUAUAUAAUAGAACUCAUGGUUUUCUUUAAUGGAAGCUUCUCUAAUGUCAAACAUGUAAAGUGUGGUGUACCGCAGGGCAGCUCUCUAGGCCUUCUACUCUUUUCUAUUUUUACCAAUGACCUGCCAUUAAACAAAGGAUGUGUCCAUGUAUGCUGUUGAUUCAACUAUAUACGCAUCAGCAAACACAGCUAAUGAAGUCACUGAAACCGUUAACCUCUCUGCACACGGAACCCGCUAGCGGGCUGAAAUUCCACAUCAUAUGGUGGUCGCUACAUAAAUAGUCAUAUUAAACAUUCACGAAAAUACAAGUGUCCCACAUGUAUCGAAAGCCUAGAAUCUUGCUAAUCCAACUGCGUUGACAGAUUUUUAAAAGGAUUUACUGCGAAAGGAUACGAUGCGAUUACCUGAGCAUAGAACCCAAUACAAUUAUAUUAUGCACAGGCGUAACAUAAUCACAAACUGCAUUAAAAUAAAUUAUUUACCUUUGACGAUCUUCGUCUGUUUGCAAUUCAAAUGCUCAUUGUUACACAAUGAAUGAUAUUUUGUUUGAUACAAUCCGUUUUUAUAGCCUAACACGAAACAUUUUGUGAACCGCUUGUGUCGUGAAUUCCGUCUCAUUCCAUUUUCGAUGACACAUUCCAGGUAAAUAACCCACGCAGAACGUGACUUUUCCAGUCAUGUUUGGCUUCACUGCAAUCAACUGGUUUGUUUGUAACACAAUCAAACGUGAUGGGCCAUUUCGCGGGACGUAUUGACUGAAAGAAACCAAUUUGAAGACAAGUCAUGACAUCAUUGUGCACCAAUGAUUUGCCCAAUGUUUUGUUGAUUGACUGUCUUUUAACCCAAUGACCACUGAUCGUCUUGAAAUCUAGCUGGGUAGAUAGCCAAUGAGCUGAGCUAAACGGAAAUACGCCAUGUUUAUGUGUUGCAAGACCAACCCAUGUAGUAAGCUCCAGCGUAAAGUGAGUCAUUCGCUAUUGAAGUUUCAUACCGUAAGAAGCUACGCAUAUUACGCACUGCAUUGUUUGGUGAAUGCGCAGAUUCAGCUGUUUAUAUAUCAAUCAUUACGGCGACUAAGUCAGGGAAAGCUAAAUCUAAGUCUAGAUAUACAGAUGUACACACAAUUUUAGAAUAAAUUGAUUGGGAAGGUGAGACAGACAUUGUUGUAGGACGCUUCAUUUAGCGAUUGUGGAGGAAUAUUUUUUUGAACGGGAGAGGACAUCGUUUUGGACUGGACCUGAGCCCUAGGACCAUGCGUCAGGACUACCUGGCAUGAUGACUCCUUGCUGUCCCCAGUCACCUGGCCUUGCCGCUGUUCCAGUUUCAACUGUUCUGCCUUCGGCUAUGGAACCCUAAAUUGUUCAUUUUUACUCUUGAGGUGCUGUCCUGUUGCACCCUCUACAACCACUGUGAUCUCCACCCGGUACAGCCAGAAGAGGACUAGCCACCCCUCAUAGCCUGGUUCCUCUCUAGGUUUCUUCCUAGGUUUUUGCCUUUCUAGGGAGUUUUUCCUAGCCACCAUGCUUCUACACCUGCAUUGCUUGCUGUUUGGGGUUUUAGGCUGGGGCUAUAUAAAUUUAUUUGAUUUGAUAGAGGACUGAGUGUCUUCCAAAUAUUGAAAGUGUGUAAAUAGUUACCCAUGUUAUUUUGUAAAUGUAUAUAUAUAUUUUUUCCAUAUGUUUUAAUCAAUAAUAAUUUUUUUACCCCAAAAAAUAAAAAUACAUUUCCUCAAUUUUUUUUGGGGGGGGUGUGUUAGAAUACCAUUUUGGUAUUUUGUAUAUAGUUAUUUGUUUCAAAAUGUUUACCUUCACCAAUUUGGCCACUUGGGUACAUUUGGGCUACUUGUGUGGGACACCUGGAUGACUUCAUGAUAAAUGUCAUGUAGCACACUCAUUUUGGAAGUUAUUAUUCUGAAACUUUGCACAAGUACUGUUGCCGUCUUAUAUUUUUCACUGAAAUUGUCCCCAUCUUAUCUGAAUGUUUGUUUUAUCUUGUUCAUUUUAAAGAUGAUACAAAAAUAAAAAUGUUUUUUUUUUCAUUGUUUUAUCUAAACCAG
ensembl:lncRNA